GACAGAGGGUGCAAACGUUGUUCGGAAUUACUGGGCGUAAAGCGCGUGUAGGCUGCUCCGCAAGUCGGAUGUGAAAGCCCUGGGCUCAACCUAGGAAGUGCAUUCGAUACUGCAGAGCUUGAGUCCUGGAGAGGAAGGCGGAAUUCUCGGUGUAGAGGUGAAAUUCGUAGAUAUCGAGAGGAACGACCGGUGGCGAAGGGCGGGUCUCUGGGCCGAAAUUGACGCUGAGGAGCGAAAGCGUGGGGAGCAAACAGG
rnacentral:rRNA from 1 species